UUGGUCAGGACGAACGCUGGCGGCGUGCCUAACACAUGCAAGUCGAACGGACUGAUUCCCUUCGGGGAUGAAAGUUAGUGGCGGACGGGUGAGUAACGCGUGAGCAACCUGCCUUUCAGAGGGGAAUAACGUUUGGAAACAGACGCUAAUACCGCAUAACGCAUAGGUGUCGCAUGGCAUUUAUGCCAAAGGAGCGAUCCGCUGAAAGAUGGGCUCGCGUCCGAUUAGAUAGUUGGUGGGGUAACGGCCUACCAAGUCGACGAUCGGUAGCCGGACUGAGAGGUUGAACGGCCACAUUGGGACUGAGACACGGCCCAGACUCCUACGGGAGGCAGCAGUGGGGGAUAUUGCACAAUGGGCGGAAGCCUGAUUGCAGCAACGCCGCGUGAGGGAAGACGGUUUUCGGAUUGGUAAACCUCUGUCUUUGGUGACGAAGAAAUGACGGUAGCCGAGGAGGAAGCCACGGCUAACUACGUGCCAGCCGCAGC
rnacentral:rRNA from 1 species